rnacentral:rRNA from 1 species
CCUACGUGAGGCAGCAGUGGGGGAUAUUGGACAAUGGGGGAAACCCUGAUCCAGCGACGCCGCGUGAGUGAAGAAGUAUUUCGGUAUGUAAAGCUCUAUCAGCAGGGAAGAAAGAAAUGACGGUACCUGAGGAAGAAGCCCCGGCUAACUACGUGCCAGCAGCCGCGGGAAUACGUAGGGGGCAAGCGUUAUCCGGAAUUACUGGGUGUAAAGGGAGCGUAGACGGUAAUGCAAGUCUGGAGUGAAAGGCGGGGGCCCAACCCCCGGACUGCUCUGGAAACUGUGUAACUGGAGUGCAGGAGAGGCAGGCGGAAUUCCUAGUGUAGCGGUGAAAUGCGUAGAUAUUAGGAGGAACACCAGUGGCGAAGGCGGCCUGCUGGACUGUAACUGACGUUGAGGCUCGAAAGCGUGGGGAGCAAACAGGAUUAGAUACCCCUGUAGUC